rnacentral:rRNA from 1 species
GAUGAACGCUGGCGGCGUGCCUAAUACAUGCAAGUCGAGCGAACAGACGAGGAGCUUGCUCCUCUGACGUUAGCGGCGGACGGGUGAGUAACACGUGGAUAACCUACCUAUAAGACUGGGAUAACUUCGGGAAACCGGAGCUAAUACCGGAUAAUAUAUUGAACCGCAUGGUUCAAUAGUGAAAGACGGUUUUGCUGUCACUUAUAGAUGGAUCCGCGCCGCAUUAGCUAGUUGGUAAGGUAACGGCUUACCAAGGCAACGAUGCGUAGCCGACCUGAGAGGGCGAUCGGCCACACUGGAACUGAGACACGGUCCAGACUCCUACGGGAGGCAGCAGUAGGGAAUCUUCCGCAAUGGGCGAAAGCCUGACGGAGCAACGCCGCGUGAGUGAUGAAGGUCUUCGGAUCGUAAAACUCUGUUAUUAGGGAAGAACAAAUGUGUAAGUAACUAUGCACGUCUUGACGGUACCUAAUCUGAAAGCCACGGCUAACUACGUG